GGAGGAAUCACAGUGGAAUACAGCUGCCAAGGCCUGGGAGGGGGAUCUUCCUGACCCAGAGACUGAACCUGCAUCUCCUGUGUCUGCUGUAUUACAGACAGAUUCUUUACCCACUGAGACAUUAGGGAAGCCACAAGAAAAUUCUGUCAAAAAAUGCCAGUAGCGAAUUGUGUUCUCUGCCAAUGUGAACAGAAGAAGCAUGGUGAGCUGAGCCAUUCCUGAGCACUGGCGCAGGAUCCACACUCAGCGCAGGAAAAUUCUAGAAGGCGAUCCUGAGGUUGGUGUCCAUACCUAUUGAAGGAAGGAUCUCAGAAGAGGGACCUACAGAAACAGUCUGCCAGUCUUGCUACAUGGGUGUUUUAUGACGCAAGCCCAGUAACGUUGGUAUUGAAUGUUGCAUGUCCCAUU
ensembl:lncRNA